UCACUCUCACUCUCCUCUUCUUCAUCACCUUUAAGCUCUCUCUCUCUCUCUCUCUCUCUCUCUCUCUGUAGGUUUCAUUGGUUGUGUCGUAGAUCUACUGCAAGGAGGAGCCCUACCCAUGUCGCAGUUCCUUCGGAUGAGCGUCGUAUGACUUCACAACCUUCGAAAGCUCUAUCGAAUCGUGUCGAAAAAUGUCGUCUUCGAGGUCAGAUCCGAGUUCCUCCCGAGUACACCCCGCGCCCGUCCUGGUCGACCACUUCGACCGACUCCCCGACUCCCUGCUCCUCCUCAUCUUCAACAAGAUCGCCGACAUCAAGGCCCUCGGCCGCUGCGGCGUCGUCUCUCGCCGCUUCCAUCAUUUGGUCCCCCAAGUCGACGCCGUCCUCGUCCGCGUCGAUUGCGUCAUCUCCGACGACGAGUCCUCCUCCCCUGUUCUCUCCGACAAGGCGCGCAACCCGCUCGCGAGCUUCUUCCACGUGGUUCUGGGCAACUUAGUGAAGCCUCUUCAGGCUCUUGGCUUGUUUUCCGGAGCGAAGAGGGCCCAGCUGGGUCCUUCCUCUUCGUCUUCGCUCGCCGUCGGAGAAAUGGACCAAGGUGGCGUGACUCACCACUCUCCUACUCAGGUUUUGAAGAAUUUCAGUGAGAUUCGGUUCCUUCGCAUUGAAUUGCCGAGUGGGGAGUUGGGGAUUGAUGGUGGGAUUUUGUUGAAGUGGAGGGCGGAUUUUGGGUCUACGCUUGACAAUUGUGUGAUUUUGGGCGCUUCUUCGGUUGUCCGGCCUGGGCCAUUCAAGAAUCUCGUGGGUUUUGAGAAUGGAACAGAUGCGGGUUGCGCCAACGACGAUAAUGGAAGUAUUCCCGAGUCCUUCUACACGAAUGGAGGUCUCAAAUUGAGGGUUGUUUGGACUAUAAGCUCUUUGAUUGCUGCAUCUGCAAGGCACUACUUAUUGCAGCCCAUAAUUGCGGAGCACGAGACUCUUGAUAGCUUGGUUCUGACGGAUGCUGAUGGACAAGGAGUGUUGUGCAUGAACAGAGAGCAGCUCGAGGAGCUGAGGGUGAAACCCUUGUCAGCUUCUUCAGCUUCGAAGAGGACAUUGGUUCCUGCGCUCAAUAUGAGGCUCUGGUAUGCGCCUCACCUGGAAUUGCCCGAUGGGGUUGUCCUUAAAGGGGCAACUUUGGUUGCCAUAAGGCCUAGUGAGCAGUCUGGGUUGAAGGACAUGGCUGAUGGGUCUUGGAUUUCGACUGCAUUUGAGGAGCCUUAUGGAACUGCGGCUAGAAUGCUGGUCAAAAGGAGGACCUACUGCUUGGAGAUGAACUCAUUUUGAUAGCACCCUGGAAGUUCAGAUGCAAGGAAUGUUGCUUCAUAUUUUGUGGCUUGGUAUUCUUUUCGGGUGUGGACCGAGUCUUGGUUCCUCCCAAAGAGCCAUCACUAGCAGACUGAUCCUCUUUAUGUCUUGAUUUUAGAUUUGAUGGGUAAGCUGAUUGCUGAAAGGGAAGACAAGUUUGCACCCUCCCGCUGGGUGAAGGAUGAGACCACGAUUUUGUCGGUGCUAGGAGCAGCCAAAUGCAGCUUCAAGUGAGCCAAAGGGCGCUGUCUAGGAGAAGUACUUUUUUUGGGGGGCUCGGCAAGUCUCUUAUUUCUGUACUAAGCUCUGAUAUUUGAGAUGCAUCUGCUGGUCGAUUUCCUAAGCUUGCAACGAGCACAACAACUAUAAAAAUGAUGUUAGGUUCCUGAGUUUGUAGUCUUCUCAACUUGUAAUCUCAUACUAUGUGAAUAUUGUAGUGAAGAACAUAUAGUCUAGAAGUCCACGAACCAGUGUACUCUCUGUUGGUCUUUGAAAUCCUGAUGCUUGUGCCAGCACAGUCGGCUGAGUUGAAUUAUAAUAAAGGAUUUUGAAGGUGGAA